rnacentral:rRNA from 1 species
GUUCUACCUUGACGAAUUGUAGUUUAAAGAAGUGUUUUCUGUUAGAGGAGUAGCAAAAGUUCCUUGGAAUGGGACAUCAUAGAGGGUGAGAAUCCCGUAUUUGGUUACUUUUUCUAGCUUUGUGAUACACUUUCAAAGAGUCGGAUUGUUUGGGAAUGCAGUCCAAAAUGGGUGGUAAAUUUCAUCUAAAGCUAAAUAUUGGCGAGAGACCGAUAGCGAGCAAGUACCGUGAGGGAAAGAUGAAAAGAACUUUGAAAAGAGAGUUAAACAGUACGUGAAAUUGUCAAAAGGGAAGCGUUUGACACCAGUGUUGUUUUUCCGAAAAUCAAUUAAGAACGGCUUGAUUUUGUGUUGUAUUGACCAUAUCAGCUUUCUUCACUCUUUUUCGAGUCUUUCUU